CAGAGCUCGGCAAAGAAU
rnacentral:tRNA from 1 species